AUGGUGAACAGAAGAAACGUGUCGUGGUACGACUCACGUUUACACCCAGGAGAAAUGGAUUAUGAGUCAGACAUGGACUUUGUUUCUGACUGUGGGGAUGAAAACUCAGAACUACUCUCAGAAACUGAAGAGAUGGAAAAUUCUAUGUUUGAUGAAACAGAACAUACAUGCGCCUUUGAUGCUGAGAUAGAGUCUCUUCACUAUGAGACUAAAUUACCUGCUGAACUGGAGUUCCCUGGAUCUGAGACGGUCGACUCUGAUUCAGAAACUAUGGUCCCUAGAUCUCAGACGGUUCAGCAGGAAUUAGCUGGUUUUAAACGCCCAAGAAAGCCACAACAACCCCUUACUUUCGCUGAAAUGAUGAACAGCACAGACAUCUCCUGGUACGACUUAUGUGUCAACCCUGUAAACAUGGAUUAUGAUUUAGUCAUCGACUUUGGUGAGGACGAAAAGCCAGAUCUACUGUUUGAAACUAAAGAGAUGAAGUCUCAGAUUACAGAACAAACAUCGGUCUUUGAUGCUGAGAAAGAGUCUCUUCAGUAUGAGACUAAUUUAUCUGCUGAACUGGAGUUCUCUGGAUCUGAGACGGUUGUCCCUAGAUCUCAGACGGUUCAGCAGGAAUUAGCUGAUUUUAAACACCCAAGUGAGGCAGAACAAACCCUUACUUUGGCUGAAAUGACGAACAGCACAAACAUGUCCUGGUACGACUUAUGUGUCAACAACGUAGAAGUGGAUUAUGAUUUAGUCAUCGACUUUAGUUCUGAUGGUGAGGACGAAAAGUCAGAUCUACUGUCUACAACUAAAGAGAUGGAGUCUCAGAUGNUGUCCUGGUACGACUUAUGUGUCAACAACGUAGAAGUGGAUUAUGAUUUAGUCAUCGACUUUAGUUCUGAUGGUGAGGAUGAAAAGUCAGAUCUACUGUCUACAGCUAAAGAGAUGGAGUCUGAGAUGCCAGAUCAAACAUCAGUCUUUGGUGCGGAGAAAGAGUCUCUUCCUAAUGAGACUCAUUCAUCUGCUGAACUGGAGUUCCCUGGAUCUGAGACGGUUUUCCCUAGACCUCAGACGGUUCAGCAGGAAUUAGCUGAUUUUAAAAGCAGGCAAAUCGAUGAACUUUUGAAACAAGUGGAUCAUUUGAAAGAAAAACUGCAGAAUACAAAUACUUGUUUCAAUCAGGAGAAGGAGAAGAGGCUUGCUGCAGAGAACCAGUGUGAAAAACUGGAGGAACGACAUUUGGACUUAGAAGCGAUGUUUAGCAGAGAAAAAGAUGAGAAA
rnacentral:lncRNA from 1 species